rnacentral:rRNA from 1 species
CCUACGGGAGGCAGCAGUGGGGAAUAUUGCACAAUGGGGGAAACCCUGAUGCAGCGACGCCGCGUGAGUGAAGAAGUAAUUCGGUGUGUAAAGCUCUAUCAGCAGGGAAGUAAAUGACGGUACCUGAGUAAGAAGCCCCGGCUAACUACGUGCCAGCAGCCGCGGUAAUACGUAGGGGGCAAGCGUGAUCCGGAUUUACUGGGUGUAAAGGGAGCGUAGACGGCAGGUGAAGUCAGUAGAGAAAGGGGGGGGCUCAACCCCCGAACUGCACUGGAAACUGUAAGGCUGGAGUGCAGGAGAGGUAAGCGGAAUUCGUAGUGUAGCGGUGAAAUGCGUAGAUAUUAGGAGGAACACCAGUGGCGAAGGCGGCUUACUGGACUGUAACUGACGUUGAGGCUCGAAAGCGUGGGGAGCAAACAGGAUUAGAUACCCCAGUAGUC